rnacentral:tRNA from 3 species
GGGCGAUUGGCGCAGUGGUAGCGCGCUUCCCUGACACGGAAGAGGUCACUGGUUCGAACCCAGUAUCGCCCAC